CCACACAAGACGUGUGUAGGUGGGCCUCACACAACUGCCCCGAAUCUUAUUCUUAUCCUUUCUUCUACCUUCAGCCCCAUCUCUCUCCGCGCCGUGCUUCUUCUUCCUUUCCGCCGCGCUGCCUUCGGCCGGUGGGUGCUGCCGUCCGUGUGCUCCGCCGAGCUGGGGGACUGCCCGACUACUCGCCGAGUUAGGGGACUGCCUGACUACUACCGACCGGCGCCCGCUGUCAUGAAAAAGGGUUGCAGCAAAUUACAUCGCCGGUCGUAUCAAAGAAUGAAGACGGUUGCAGCAAAACAUCGUCAGAGUCGUCAUCUGUCGCAGUUAAGACACGAAGCUUGAAGCUUUUUUUAAUACCGGUUGUAGCUUUUGUAACCGCUGGUUGCAACUUUUUGUUCUCAUCCAUGGCUUUCGGCUCUAUGGUUGAAGCUUUUUUUUAUCGCCGGAUGAAGCUUUUUUCAUCGCGAUAUGAAGCUUUUUUGGUCACUGGUUGCUACUUUCCGGCCGGCGGGGGCGAGGGAGAGGUGAGGGGAUGGGCAGCAUAGGUGGGCAGCGGAGCUGCAACCAACAGCUCAAAAGGCGACGGGCGACAGCGGCGAUGGGCGACGGCGAGGCAAUUCGGCGGGAGGCGACCGGCGAAGACGCGGGAGGCGACCGGCUUCGAGGUUCGUCGUUUGCUCGUUUACGGCGAGCGCCGGCGGCGCCGCUGCUCUGUUUCCCGCGGGCCUCGUCAGAUUUGGUUUUGGAAAAAAAAACAGAAGCCCCAAUCCAACGGCAACACUUGUCGCAUCGGGUGGCUGGGGCUAGACCGGCGGAACUGUUCAGCCGCCUAUCACUGCCCUUUUUUUAAUGGUGUGUGGUGUAAUUAGUACUUGGAAAAGGUUCUUUUCUUCA